rnacentral:lncRNA from 7 species
AAAUCGGACAGCAGUAUCUGCAGAAGGGGUGCUCCUUGGCUUGGGGAACGUCUGGGUUUUCAAAAACAGCACCUCAGAAACUAGGAGUACAGCAAGCAAGUAUUUUCUAAGGAGUGCUUGCUAGAAAGCCUGCAGCUGACUGGGCCACAGAAGUGCCUUGCCUGUGCACACCAGGAGGCGUCUAGCUUUCGUUCAGAAAACAACACCAGCUCUGUGCAAUGCGCUGCAAUGCAAACCUACAUCCCUACCUCCCUAAAAGCAAGAAUGGUGCUGUGGGAUGAGGCACUGUUGCUGCUUUGAGAUGGAGAGUGGAGGAGUCCUCUGAUACCAGGGACAAGUGGCUUAUAAAUAAGUCCAGCAGCCACAGCUGUGAGAUCAGAGGAAACGUAAAUCGCAGAAUAUUUUUGUCUUUAAUUUGUGCUUGUCCAGAAAAGUUCUGAUGACAGUAACACAGCAGUAACUACCAAAAAGCUGAUUCCCAAUGCCUGCAGUCUCCUCUCGUUCAGCCCAGCUUUCUCUGGGGGCAGCGUCCUUAGGUUCCAGACCCAAUCCUCUGGGUGCUGGCCUGCCUCUGUGCAGCGAUGGCAGUGAGCCAGGUGUGCAGGGGGCUCCAGCACCCUGCACCCCAAACCCAGUCACGGAAGCCAAAGGCAAUGGCUUGGCCUUUUUUUGCAGCAGCAAAGAAAACGGAGCAGCAAAAGUUCCCCUCUGCAAAGCAUCAAAGGUAGAGCUGCUGCUGGAUCCUCCCAGCAAAACUGGAUGCUGGUGGGGAGUGAAGCAGGUAAGCUUGCAUAUUUUUUAAUGAAGUAAAAAAGGAAAAAUAAACACUCCUCUGAAGUUGUCAGCUUGGCACAGAUCUCCGCAGUGCAUCGAGGGCACCAAAGUCACCAUGCAACUGGCAGUCACAGAUGCUCGUCCCCCUGCACCCCCUCCCACAGAGUGAGCCUAAGAAAGCUGCAGAUGAAAAGCACAUGACCGAUACAGCAUAAGCAACAGAAUAACAACACUGCAGCUCGUCACGCCUGGGUUUUAGCCAGGAAUGGGUGAACUGAUAUGGUGAAAACAAGAACUCAAUGGACUCGACGUGUCCAAAUUAAAAACUGCAAUGAUAACAUAAUCCCCUUGCACCUUAAACACCCCGACACACGCACAUCCAGACAUCAUUUGGGGGGGCCUUCUUUCAUUUUUCCUUCCACGUCACACAUCUGUGCUCUGGGAUCCCAGCCUGGGUAGCAGCAGAGGUGGUGCCCAACGCCGGCAGGAGCUGCUCAGUGGGUGGUGGCAUGGCCAGAGACCAGAGAGACCCAACACAUUUGGCAGGAUCCCCAUCUUUCUUGUGCCCUCCCCCAAAAGCCAUGGCAGAGGGAGGAGAAGAGGCAGCAGACUGUCUUCCUUUUGGCUUCCACAAAGAGCACUCCACCUGCAAAGCUCCUGCAAGAUGGAUCCUCCUUCUCUGCCUCAUGCUUACACACAUUUAUACAGCGAGAUACUAGAUAAACCUUUUGUAAGAAAAUAAAUAUUUCAUCUGUGUU